GACGAACGCUGGCGGCGUGCUUAACACAUGCAAGUCGAACGGUGAGGCUCCAGCUUGCUGGAGUGGAUCAGUGGCGAACGGGUGAGUAACACGUGAGCAACCUGCCCCUGACUCUGGAAUAAGCGCUGGAAACGGCGUCUAAUACUGGAUACGAGAAGGGUCCGCAUGGGCACCUUCUGGAAAGUUUUUCGGUUGGGGAUGGGCUCGCGGCCUAUCAGCUUGUUGGUGAGGUAAUGGCUCACCAAGGCGACGACGGGUAGCCGGCCUGAGAGGGCGACCGGCCACACUGGGACUGAGACACGGCCCAGACUCCUACGGGAGGCAGCAGUGGGGAAUAUUGCACAAUGGGCGAAAGCCUGAUGCAGCGACGCCGCGUGAGGGAUGACGGCCUUCGGGUUGUAAACCUCUUUCAGCAGGGAAGAAGCGAAAGUGACGGUACCUGCAGAAGAAGCACCGGCUAACUACGUG
rnacentral:rRNA from 1 species